GGUGUCUAAAAAAAGUGGGGAACACAGGUCAACAGACACAUUUAUAAUCGGAUUUUCAAGGAACACAGGGGAGGACGUGCGCCCCAGCUCCCCCUCAGUGACGGCCCUUGUCUGCCGGAUACGUUAAUUCCUUUGAAAAGGUCCGACCAAAAAAUCCGCCAAUUCAGCCAGCUGUUUUCACAGGUUGCAUGGAUGCAGAAUGCAGAUCUGCAGCUCGAUUAGAUUCUAGGAUUUGGCUUCAAGUUUGGCAGCUUACCAGGUUUUCUAAAGAUAUAAAACUCUCACGCUUUCAGAACAGAUCAAACAUAAAGAUAAAUAGGCUGAUCAAAUAUUUUAUUCUUUAUCUCGAUUAUUUUAUUUAUAAUUACGUACCAUAUUUAUUAAACAAGGAACUUGCCGGGCCAACAAUGCUAAUUUGUUAAGGGGACCGUUCACUCAUUUGG